rnacentral:rRNA from 1 species
GGACCCGCACAAGCGGUGGAGCAUGUGGUUUAAUUCGACGCAACGCGAAGAACCUUACCUGGACUAGAAUGUGAGGGAAUGUCGGUUAACGCCGUCAGUCUGGGAAACCAGACCCAAAACAAGGUGCUGCAUGGCUGUCGUCAGCUCGUGUCGUGAGAUGUUGGGUUAAGUCCCGCAACGAGCGCAACCCUUAUCAACAGUUGCCAUCAUUAAGUUGGGAACUCUGUUGAGACUGCCGUUGAUAAAACGGAGGAAGGUGGGGAUGAUGUCAAGUCAUCAUGGCCUUUAUGUUCAGGGCUACACACGUGCUACAAUGGCCGGUACAAAACGUCGCAAUCCCGCAAGGGGGAGCUAAUCGCUAAAACCGGUCUCAGUUCGGAUUGAAGUCUGCAACUCGACUUCAUGAAGUUGGAAUCGCUAGUAAUCGCAAAUCAGCAUGUUGCGGUGAAUACGUUCCCGGGUCUU